rfam:Gossypium arboreum cultivar AKA8401 contig_74296_1, whole genome shotgun sequence.
AACCCAUGGUGAGGGCACCUUCUCAAUAGAUCCUUGUAUCUCUCCCAUGCACCAUAGAGUGUUUCUAAAUCCAUCUGCACAAAAGAAGAAAUAUCAUUCCUUAAUUU